AGUUCCUCGGGAUUUCGCAGUCGUUUGGAGGUCUCAUAUACAUGUUAGCGUACAUGUAAGAGAACACUUGACAAUUGGUAUUCCCUGAAGAGUAGGUGUUGUUUUGGUAAAAUAUCCCCAAUAGCACAGGGUAUAAAAUCAACCAAAUUCUAAGAACACGUGAACUUUUAAAUAUUAAUUUUCACCAGUACAAUACAGACGUUGCCGGAAGUAAUUGGCGGUAUUUUAAAAAUAUCUUGGGAGGAACCGGCAAUGCUGGAUAAUUGUUGGGCUCAGGCCAUGUUGGCAUCCAGUAAUGGGUUUUCCCCGAGUUGUCAUAGUGAUGGUUCCUUCACAGCUAAACAAUGUUAUUUACAAAGGUGCUGGUGCGUCAAUAGAGAUGGUAGUCCACAAAUACAAAACACAGGCACCAGAUUCUACUACUUCACUAAAGGCAUUAUGUUAGAUUGUUCACAGAAUCCUUGAGACACUUCAAAUAUUCUUGUUGACUCGAAUAAGAUUCUUAAUAACAAAACCUCACACACUCCCUAAAUAAUUUAUAUCAACAUCUCCUUGAAUAAUGGUGCUUCAAUAACAUCCGCUAUGUUUGUAGUAAUUGGUUCCGUAUUAAGUUUGAUGACCACUUAUAGAUCGUUAAACAAUAAAACACAAGGCGGUAUAUAAGUAAGAGUAUACAAUAAAUAGGUAAUAAGACGUAUAUAUACAUACAGUGUAUAUAUAUUAUCAGUUCAGUAUAUAGUUUACUUUUACUUUUAUAUACUCCAGGGCGUGAUCAUCUAUUUAAAGCGAGAGGACGAUUUAUCCGAUACUCCCCAAUACCGCCCAAUACUAUUACCAAUACCAAAUACCAUCUCACAAUACCUCAUUAUUGAUAAGAGAUAACUGGAAUUGCGAGACAUUGACCAUCACAUUUGCCCUGCAUAUUUGCCCUGCAUUUUUGGCAUGUUUUCUGCGAAUUAACUCAAUUUUUCAAAAAUUAUUCUAUUCGUUUUUCACAAUAAUCAGGUAGUAUGUGAUGGUAUUUGGUAGUAUUUAGUUAGUAUUGGAUUGUAUUGGGUAAAUCGCCCUACCCAUUUAAAGAGUCAUGCUCACUCCUGACAUUCAAACCAUCAAUAUGGAGGAGUUAUCUGUAAUUAUAUUGAUAUGAAUGAAUUAUUA